GCAGGAACAAGCAUUUUAUAUAGUUGUGCUUUAAAAUGCCAAUUUUAUCGUUUAUUGAAAUCAUUUCUGAGAUAAUAUAUUGUCCAGAAAAUGCUGUUAUCGUGACGGGCCUAACUAUAGUGUUGUAUAAUAAUAUACAGUACAGUAUGUGAAGUUAUAAAAGUGUAUAAUCACGUCUGUCUGAUGCAUCGUUGCAGCACAAGACACCCAUCCCACUAAUGGAUGAACUCAGGAAUUCACUCUGAAGGUCAAAUGCUUCUAGACAUGCAAACAUAAUUAACAUUUUGGACAAAGGUUUUCUUUCACUUUCAGCCUUUCUCAGUGGGUGGGGGUGCUUUCAGUUUUAUCCUGUGGAAAGAAAACCUGCUGAUUGGACACAGUAAAAGUGAAACUUGUACAUCACCUAUAAAUUCUGCUCAUGUCAUUCACAUCACACCCAUCACACCCAGAACAGGGACUGGAAAGAGGUGCACUCCGGUCUAUAUGUAUUAGGACAGGGACUCAGUGUUUGCAUUAACUCAAAACAUAACAAGACCAACACUGUGCAGACUAAAGAGACAAGCAGCAAAUGGCAGGAAAACGUGUCCCGAAAGCAGGAGUCAGCGCUGCGGCUGGAGUAGGAAGUGCUGACUAUAGCAUCUUUGAAGCUGAAGUCAAAGGUCCAAAUGCCUCUGCAGGAGUUCACGCUGAUGAUUCGGGUGUGGGUGCCAUGGCUCGAGCUGAGAUCGCAAGUGCAUCAGCAUCUGCUGGACCAUUAGGAGUGAAGGUUGGUCUGGGAGUUGAUACUGGUGUUGAUCUCAGCGGUGGAAGCGCUGAAGUGAAGCUCCUGGGCUGUGGAGUGUCAGUCGGCAGAAAAAUGGGAAUUUCUUUAUUUGGAAGCGAGCUGAGUUUCAGACUUUGGUAAAAAUACAUUAAUGCCACCAAUUGUGCCUUAAUGUGCUAUCAUUUGAAAGUGAUGCAAUGAUGCAAAUGUGAUACAUUUAUAACAACAAAUAAAAUUCUUCAAUGAAACGUU